rnacentral:rRNA from 1 species
UAGCCCGUCGGGCAGUAUACUGUUCGGNGGCGCAGCAAACGCAUUAAGNUAUCCGCCUGGGGAGUACGGUCGCAAGAUUUAAACUCAAAGAAUUGACGGGGGCCCGCACAAGCGGUGGAGCAUAUGGUAUAAUUAGAAGCAACGUGCAGAACCUUACCAGCCAUUGACAUCCCGAUCGCGGUUACCAGAGAUGGUUUCGUUCAGUUAGGCUGGAUCGGUGACAGGUAGCUGCAUGGUUGUCGUCAGCUCGUGUCGUGAGAUGUUGGGGUAAGUCGACGCAACGAGCGCAACCAUCGCCAUUAGUCACCAUCAUUCAGUUGGGCACUCUAAGGGGCCUGCCGGUGAUAAGCCGAGAGGAAGGUGGGGAUGACGUCAAGUCCUCAUGGCCCUUACGGGCUGGGCUACACACGUGUUACAAUGGUGGUGACAGUGGGCAGCGAGACCGCGAGGUCGAGCUAAUCUCCAAAAGCCAUCUCAGUUCGGAUUGCACUCUGCAACUCGAGUGCAUGAAGUUGGAAUCGCUAGUAAUCGUGGAUCAGAAUGCCACGGUGAAUACGUUC